AGAGGGUGCGAGCGUUAAUCGGAAUUACUGGGCGUAAAGGGUGCGUAGGCGGAUAGAUAAGUUAGGUGUGAAAGUCCUGGGCUUAACCUAGGGAAGUCAUUUAAAACUGUUUAUCUGGAGUGAAGUAGAGGGUAGUAGAAUUUCCGGUGUAGCGGUGAAAUGCGUAGAUAUCGGAAAGAAUACCGGUGGCGAAGGCGGCUACCUGGACUUUAACUGACGUUGAGGCACGAAAGCGUGGGUAGCGAACAGGAUUAGAUACCCUGGUAGUCCACGCUGUAAACGAUGAGAACUAGCUGUUGGGGCGAUUAGUUUCAGUAGCGCAGCAAACGCGAUAAGUUUUCCGCCUGGGGAGUACGGCCGCAAGGCUAA
rnacentral:rRNA from 1 species